rnacentral:rRNA from 1 species
UACGUAGGGUGCAAGCGUUGUCCGGAAUUAUUUGGGCGUAAAGAGCUCGUAGGCGGUCUGUCGCGUCUGCUGUGAAAACUCAGGGCUUAACCCUGAGCUUGCAGUGGGUACGGGCAGACUAGGGUGCGGUAGGGGAGACUGGAAUUCCUGGUGUAGCGGUGAAAUGCGCAGAUAAUCAGGAGGAACACCGGUGGCGAAGGCGGGUCUCUGGGCCGUAACUGGACGCUGGAGGAAGCGAAAGCAUGGGGAGCGAACAGG